CCCUUAGAUGUCCUGGGCCGCACGCGCGCUACACUGAUGCAUUCAACGAGUUUUACCUUGGCCGAGAGGCCUGGGCAAUCUUUUAAACCUGCAUCGUGAUAGGGAUAGAUUAUUGCAAUUAUUAAUCUUGAACGAGGAAUUCCUAGUAAACGCAAAUCAUCAAUUUGCAUUGAUUACGUCCCUGCCCUUUGUACACACCGCCCGUCGCACCUGCCGAUUGAAUGGUCCGGUGAAGCCUCGGGAUUGUGGCCAGUUCACUUUAUUGGGAGUUGGCUGUGAGAACUUGUCUAAACCUUAUCAUUUAGAGGAAGGUGAAGUCGUAACA
rnacentral:rRNA from 1 species